AUUGCAUUAAAUAAAAUAUAGGAAUUAAUACUGAAAGGCAUGUCAUUGUUGUUCAUAAAGCCUAAAUUUCCAGAAAAUACAUUGACAUUUUUAUUUGUUAUAAAAUAUCACAUUAGUGUAGACAAAAAAGAUGCAGUGUUCAAAAGCUUACUGCAUUUCUCUAAAAUAAUAAAACAGGACAUCAUGUCCAUAUUUUUAAAUUGUGCAUGGAAAACCACAACUUGAGGGCAAACAUGAAAACUGGGUCACAAGAAUCAUCAAAUAAAGUAAUGCAAUGUGUGUAAAAUUACAGUAACACUCACUUAUAACAGAGCCUUUGUGCCAUUGUAGACACACACAUGCACUACACAGAAUAAAGCCGGCUGUAUGAGCAUGUUCUUUCCACAAGACUAUAAUUCUAGUCAGUAUAUCAAAGAUCAACAGGCCCAUGAAUAACAGUAAAGAACGAUGACAUUGAGAUCUGAUGACGGUCUUUAUGGGCUUUUACUGUUUAAAAUGUUGUUUUCAUUUAAUAGAGACCUUUAUACUUUACCCCUAUUGACACAUGUCUUUUUUAAUGAUCUAUCCUGAGGUCAAAGACUUUAUGCGUGAUACAUCUUGUUUCUAAAAUCCAUAAUAAGGAGCUUUGAGAACUGGAUGUGAGCGAGAGAAAAUGAACAAAGAUGUAUGUUUGACAUCUGUUUUUCAGAUGAGACAAGACAACACCAUAUUAUGUGGCUAAUGUACUUAAAUGUCCAGCCCAGAUUCAGAGCUCAGGGUGAGAGAGGACAAUGAAGAAAUAUGAGCACUGACACUCCUCGUCAGCCAGACAAAUGUUGGUGCAUCUGCUCACUGCUACACACACACACACACACACACACACACACACACACACACACACACACACACACACACACACACACAGAAGAUGCAAUUGACUUAGCAUGAUUAGGCUGUUUCUUGACCCACGAACAUUGCCUCUCAUUAAGACCCUCAUUUGCGAAACAGUUUUAGAGGCAGUGGACUGGUACAUAAUGUGCAACAUCUGCCUGCACCCUGUUUCUUGUUCAGACACACAAACUGACACAAAGUAAACAUGAAUCAGCCACUCUACCCUUUUUUCCCUCUCUAGAUGGAAAAAAUGACAGUCAUGCAGUUUUGACUGGAUUUGAAUCUGGUCCCUGCUGUUAAAAUGUCAUCUUCACAUUCGAGCACAAGACAAGACAAAAGUUAACCACAUGCCACCAAAUUCCCAGCCCAGUUACUUUUAAAACAAAACCUUAAAAGUGAGUCAUAGAGAGGCAGAUCAUGUGGAAAAUUACAGUCAAUUAAAAGUUGAAUUAACAAUUCCCUCUGAAGACACUCAUAACUUAAAGAGUACAUCUUCUGAUCAUCCCUUUUUUCAUCAUCAAACGUGUAUAAUUUUUCCCCAGACACUUCCAGUCGCUUACAUGUUGCACCCAGGCAUGUCCCACCAUGUUUUGACAGUUCCUGCUGCUCUUUACAGUGUGUCUGAAGCAGCAUGUAACUCUCUCUUUAAAGUGUUUGUUGUCUGUGCCACUAAUGACAGAUUAAUGCAGAUCUGAGGCUGUUUUAGGCACAUGAAAGGCAGAUUCCAGGCAGGCAGGCACUCUAUCACCAGUAAUGAACCCCCUGCAUCGACAGUAAAAACUACAUUUUCUCACACUCUCUUCAAACUGUGUCACCACAUAAACUCACUUUUUUAGUGAAAGCAAUCAUUAUAAGUUUUUGUUGUGUUGCCCUGGCUGCUGAAAUAAGCAGACUGCACUAUUAAAUUUCAGUUGAUAUGUGAGACCGUAAAUCAAUCCUUGUGUGACGAUAUCGCUGUGCACCUUUUGUGCCUAAUUGCCCAAUUGUUAAAACUAUUAAGAGCCACCCCUUGAAACAAGACAGUUCUUGCAUUGACAAUCCCAACAAGCAUGGUUGUCUCACUUCUGUUCUGCCUCAACGGAGCCACAGGGAAGUUUCAAGUGCUAGACAGCAUUUAAUCUACCUGGGGAAAGAAGAAGAGGAAGAAGAAGUGACAUAGAGUUGUGAUCAUGCAAAUGUACCUGCAUGAAAAAUUCAAGAACCAAAUGACAAGCCCCGGUGUGCAGGCGCUGACAGAGGAAGGAAGAAAGGCACAACAUGACACUCCGUGGAGGAUUGUGAAAGCACAGUCUCCGCCUGCUGCCUCAGGUAAAGUGGGGAUAUUGUCUGAAUUAAUGUGGCCUUGCUUUGAUGCUGUGGGAGGAAAGAAGCUGAGAACUGCAGGAGACGACAAUAGAUACUAAAGAGUCACAAGUCCCCAGAUUUAAAGGCGCAAUGAUUGAACAAAUGCCAGCAGGGAUGUCAAACGUGCACAGUGUUUAGCAGAACAUCACUCCCUCUCUGCAUAGAAAUGAGACAGGCUCCAACAUGUGAGAGUUACAACAGGGCUUUGAACACAGUCACUUUGUAGGAUGGCUGAUGGCUUUAUUUGUUGAGUGUGUUCUUUUUUCAAAUGAGAUUAGAUAAUAACAGGCUGUUAUCACACUUGCUCUUUGAAAUUGAAAUUGGCCAUCACAAACCUUUGAAUUCAUUUUCAAAUGUAGAUAUAUAAAGCUCGUUUGUACAUAUUUUUAUUCAAGUGAAGCCCUGAAGAGGGAUAUUAUAUCUCUUCCUGGAGUCCGUGGGAGAAUUAUCAGCCACUCUUGACCUUAAGCAUGAGCCAUCCUCAUGCUGAAUCCUGUGAGACCUUGAGCUGUCUUACAAAACCCCAGGACAGAGAAACCAUUGAUUACCACUCCACUUCUCUCUCUCUCCAGCCUUCAGACACACCGUAUCUGUGCACCUAAAUCACACAAUUCUGUACGAAAUCCUUCCUUUGUCACAAACUUUAUACUCUAUCUUUGCUGUCAUGUGCGUUCCUGUAUGCAUGUGAUGUCGCUGACCUCCCAUAAUGCCUCCUCCUCCCUUGACUACAUGCUGUGUGCACAAGCCCCCUUGUUCAUGUCCUAACCCCUGCCCCAUUGAUAUGACGUGGACUUCUGUCUGCCUCCCAUCUGAUGACCUUCUGCUCCAAUCCUCAACAGACGGGAGCCCUCAUAAAGGAGGAAUUGAUCCACAGCAAUGUUUUUGUGUGUUUGUGAGUGUGUGUGUGUGUGUGCGUAUAUGUUUCCAGAGUCCCAUGAACCUCAGGGCCAUACUCCACUCACGACUUACCCAACUAGUGUGCCAUCCCGACCCCGGCUACCCCCCUCAGGAUGUGUGGGAACAGAGUGCCGGGCAAUUUCCCUUGGGCUCCUGCUCCAGAGCUUGUCCUUUGCUUUGUGAAAGGGUAAAUUAAGGUGGUGAGGUUGUAUUUAAGUUCAUAUUUCCCUUGAGUGUGAGAGAGGGGGAGACCAAGGACAUGGGACAUUGAUCGAGUAAAUGCUGUCCAGUCAGAAAAACAGCCUUUAGAUGAGAGAAGUAUUUGUCUUAUUUCUAACACCUGUGGCUCCUUUUUGAGUCAGGAUAGAAGGGCCAUACCAAGGCGCUGAUAUAGAAACACACAGCACAAUUCCACCCAAGUGGUCCUCAUCAAUUUCCUUAUACAUUCGUAUGAUCAGACAUUUAAUGCCCUAAAUUAUAUCAGUGAACUCUUGGCUUGUGCAAACUGAACUUUGAGCGAUAAAAGAUUUUGUAUGUUAUCUAGAUUUGAAAGCAAACACGAUGAAACAAAGUCGAAGUUACUUAAAAAGUAACAUGAAUAGAGUGGAAACCAUAAACUCCUUGGUUUUGAAGGGGCUUUUUUGAAGCCCAACUAUGGUGGUUACAAUACUGAAUGCUGACUCAACCUAGACACAGGCAGAGAGAUGGAGCUGAGGUGAGCCUACUAGUAAACAGUUACAACUCACCCACCUGUCAGUCAACCCAGCGGAGACCCUAAUUGUUCAGUUUAAUAGAAAACACUCCGCCUCUUUAUUCUUUUAAAGGUACAUAGUAUUAAAGGGAUUUACAGUUUCAACCUGUCAGAUUCUACACUGAAACGCUCCUCUAGUCACUCCUUUGACUGAAGCCAUGAUAGUCUUCAGGGACAGGUAGCUCCUGGAAUGCAUGAUGAGUGUGACCCAUAAGUCUCACCUAAAAACAUAGAAAACUCAUCUAUUCAUCUUUUUAAUUUCUUGGUCUUGCCCAAUGGCCUCUUUUUGCAAAACUAGAGGAUUAAAGAUUUGAAUUUUCCAUGCUUAAUUCUUUGAGCAGUCAAACUGUGUGUCCAGUGACACGAUUUCAAUAAGGAUAAAGCGUUAAAUAUGUAGUGCUUUUUUAUUUUUGUUUCUAUAGAAAUGCAUGGAUAACUACUCAUAGCUUGUUGCAAAACAGCCCAAACAGUUGAUUUUAACACAAGUUAUCCCUCUGGUCAGUCAAAGAGCCGAUCAUUGACAAAGACUUUGGGGUGGCUAAGGGGGUAGUUGAUCAGGUUUCAAGGGGGACCCAUGCCACCACUGGCAUGUCAGUCAAAAAUAUCCCUGACAAUCAAAAACACUAAACACACUUUCUUAGACUUGAACAGUCUCCUGAUUGGUCUUGUAAAAAGUCUCAGUUCUUUUUUGCAGUGGUAAAACUGACCUCUAUUAUGUUUUAGUGGGAGCCGCUUAAUAAACGGGACCUCUGUGGAUUUGAUGGAUCCAUGAGCUGCAGCAGCUGAUGGCUCUCCCAGGAGGAGGAGCACUUCAGUGGCAGGUUCAAUAGCUCAUUAUCAGUGGUCCCGCUGGAUAAUUAGUGAACAGUGGGAUCCUGUCACAGGGACAAAUAAACAUAUACUCUGCUUCUCUCAAGCUCCCCUCACUGGUUCCCUUUACAGCGUGCGUUUAAUGUCAUAUCAAAAGCCAGGGCCCUGCACACCAGAGGCCAUCUGCUGCUGGAUUUUUCAAAUACACCUUUCACAGCAAAUAGCGCACAAUAAUUCUUUUUAAAGACUUGGGGCCACAUUAUAUUUUGUAUCCGACAUUUUACAGUUUAAAAACAAACUUGUCAGUGCUCUCUGGUGGACUUGGCAUGUGCUGGAGGAAAUGUUUCUCACUCUGCACCUAUACAGACUGUUCUGUAAAAACAGCUCUUGAGCAGCAGUGCGGCUACAGCCCUCCUGUGCUUAAACAGGAUGUGUUUAGCCAGAUUAAAGCUGUAUGGCAUCUGUAUGGUUCAAGUAGCAGACAGAGUCUAAUGCGCCAUCACUCUGGAUAUUGCAUAACACUGCAGUAGAUAAUCUGCAACAAAGAGAAACCAAGCUGCUGCAUGAAUAUAUCUUUAGGGGUGUGAUGUAUCCGACCUAAAAGAUAUAUUUGGCAUUUUUAAUGUUAGUUAAGAGUCAGUAAACCUAUUUUAUCAUUUUAUUUAACAGUUUUUUUUUUAACAUGCUAUAUUGUAUGUCAGCACAGUACAUCUUCAUAGGGCUACCUGUAUCAGAGUGUGUAUCGGACCAACAGCAACUUUUCCCUAAGAUAUCAUCAAACCCAGUGCUCUAAGAGGGCUGGUUUGCUUGAUUAUGCGGUACCACUUCUGAUUGUGACCUCUUUAUCGGACCCUUUCCGGUCUUCUUCUUCCAUAACAGUUUCUCUUGGUGGUUAACAGCACUCUAAACCACUUACAGCAGGCCCGCUGUAUGUUUUUGCAGCCUUUCCGACAGCCACUUUCCUGUGUUGUGUGCUGGAAGUGACUUGUUUUCAUCCUCCAGCAAAGGCCUGAUGACUUCUUUGAACUGCACACCAGGUACUGUACACUGUUUGUAUAACCUGAUGGAAGUGGAUACAAGCACAGUGAUGUGGAGAUCAAGAGGUUUUUUUGCACGUAUGACGCUCUUAGUUUUUUCAAUAAAUUUAUGUCAUGAGAAUCUGCAUGACCUUCAAGCAUUUUUAUUACCUGUAAAGAUUUAUAACAUCACACUGACUUUAUUUUUGUUGGAGAGGCUGCUAGGAAGUCAAGAUGUAGUUCGCUAUUACGUCAUGGCCAUAAAACUAAUGUUGAAUUUACUUAACUCUUCAAAAAGAGUAAUCAGGUUUAAAUGAUGUGUCCUGGGUGUGGUUUGGGUUCGGCCACAGCGAGAUUAUGUUCAUGUUAAGGUAAAGACAAUAGCUGUAUUCAAUUUAGUUUCUAUGUUAAGAUAUUAUACUGUUUGAGAGGAUCAUGUGGUAAAAACAGCUGUCUCUAUGUUAUAAACUUUAAAGAAGUGUUUUGUGUGGACAUUUUGCAACUUUCCAUGAGCUCAGUGUUGAAUUUAAAUAAUCUCUCAGUUAUUUUCCACAGUAAUUUACUUUCUUGUCUUGUCUUUUUCCACGACUGUAAACUCAGUUAUUACUUUAGAAAUACAGCCUUCACAGGUGACAUGCAAACAUUCGUGUAAGGAAACUCAGAUUAAGUUAUAAUUAAUAAUUUGUCAUAAUAGUUAAAGACCAUUCGCAGCAGUAAUGUUACUAGAAAUUCACUGACUCUAGGUAUGAAAAACAAAGACUUUGAGAUGCAUUUAAUCAUUUACUACACCCUGCACAAUAAUCUAUAAUGCUAAACAUUUAUAGACAGAAGGCAUUUUGUACUUCUUUGUUUGGUUUUGAAGAGAUCAUUAGAGGACAGUCCAUUACUAAUUCAGUUGAAGCCUCCUUGAAAAAUGCUGUUUCUCAGAGUCACUGCAAGUUUCCAUGCUCUCCUUAUGUUUAAUAUUUAGUUUAAGACAAUUUAUUUAAGUUGAAGAUGGUGAAGUUAAAAUUCAGCAUCUUUUUAUGACUUAGUGUGUCUCUAAUUAAGAUUGUUAUAUUCUUGGACGGGAGGAUUUUAAUUGUACUCAGAAAAAAAACACCAGAAAUGAUCAAUAAAUCCUCACAAACCAAAGCAACAAAAAGAACAAACACAACAAACACGUAAAUAUUAUUUCUACUGUAAGUUGAAAUGCUUUGCCCUACACACAUUCUCUCAUGUACUUAAGCCAAGAUCUACAUCAAAUUAUCAGCCAGUUUAAAUGAACUUUUUGCCACAAAAACAACAACAGUUAGCUAAAGGGCCGCUCAGCUCUGCUCAACCAGCCCACUCAUAAAACUAUAUUUGUUUGAAACUAUUAUGGACAAAGGAGAGUGCUUGGAGCUAAAAAUAGAGUAAAAUUAUGUCAUUCCCAUAGAUCACACAUUCUGUUUUAAUCACAACAUGUUUAAUACCUUUCAACAUGCAAACAGCAAAAUAAGGUCACGCUAAGCUUUGAUAUGCAGUUAUGUCAUAUUACUCAUCCCCUGCUCUUCAUGAUGUCUGCACAGCCAAUCAGGGUGAACAGAAAACACUUCCUCAGGCAAAUCAAAGGAUCUAAGUAUUUUAAGUCCACACAAAGAUGUUCAAAUUACUCGUGUUUUUUUUUUUUUGGUCAAUCCUUUAAAGGCUUGUUGUUUUGUUGCUCACAUAAGUAUGUAAUAUCUCAUUUAAUUAGCAAUGUAAGCCCUCUGACAAACGGGCAUAUGGUCCUCGCUCUCCCACGGCCUUGGCCAGCCAAUGAAUAUGCAUAUCCUGGGACCCUAGUAGCUUGUUACCCUGGAAUGAAUUCUACACAAGCCUAAUCCCUGAUCUAUUAUUUACCCCUUGACCAAACAUGCAAGUGGGGCUUCCAGACGCUUGACUUGAUAGAAAUGACUGCCCUGGGAUUGGAUUGCCUCUCUCUUACCCCACAGCGCAGGAGCCAGGCUGAGAAACGCUGUGUCUCUCUUUCUGCUACACACACAUACACACACAGACACACACACACACAUACGCAUCCCGCGCCUUCAGCUUCUUACUCUUGAGAUGUCUCAGUCAAAUGUUAAGCAAAUCCUCCUAAAAACAAGCGCACAAUAAAACUUUAAUGAGCGCGCCCACUUCUGAGGGAUCUAAGGGACACAAGUGAGGAAAUCAGUGUCACAUCUCUACAGCUUAUACACACACACACGCACACACACACACACACACACACACACAUAGAGAGAGAGAAAAACUAUUUCUGAGUGCCUGAAACACGUGCGCCCAAGUGUGUGCACGCAUGAGGCGUGCGUAAAGUGUACUCGUGAGGGCAUAGGAAAUGAAAAAAGUGAAAGUUUGCUUAAGUGAAAUGCAGCCCCACUCAAAAGUUACUACAGACAUUAGAAAUUUAAGACCCUUUUUUACUCAUUCUUUGAAAUUUCUCGCCCUUUCAGCCACAUCUAACAUUUUGUGACGAAUAAUAUGUAAAACAGAUUUUAUUAAAAAUAAGCAGCACUUAACACACUGCUUCAUAGCUUCUUUUGCCUCCAGCAGUAUCGCGCGUGUCUUUGCCAAUUCUUAUCUUCGGGCUGGGGAUUUAUGAGACUUUUUUGACGCUCGAAGAUGUGACCCUUUCCUCGAACACAAAAUCGUUUGUCAACUUGCUGGACCCGCAGUCGCUCGGGUUACAGUCACACACAGCGUGUAAAACCCGGGUCUGAAUUCACCCAGCCUAACACAGCAGCCACCUUCUCUGCAGCCCCGGACCGUCUGCAGCUCUCCUCGGCGCGCUGCGCUGACUCUGCAGAAGGAACUCAUCGGGGGAGUGUGUGAGGCGUUUUUUUUUUCUCGUUUUCCUCAAGGUAUAACAAGCAGGAACAACCAAAACUCUGGGUGCCAGCGAUCCAACUGUCUCAUUGACUUUUUAAAUUUAUGGUUUGAGAAAGAAGAGGGGGCAGAGAGUGGUUGUCGUGCGUUCGUCUCCGUGAGACCGACGCGUAUCCAAACGUCUCGACGCGCGUUUUUUUCAGCGAAGCAGCCGGCGAGGACGCGGAGAUUCUCGGGUUAAGAAGAGUGGUUUUCGUCAUGUACUCAAAAACUGCUACAAAAGCGGUGAUAAGUUUCUAAAAGGAGCGAGGACUGUGGUUCACCUCACACGGUGUUCAGCAUUGAAGAGGAGAAAGUUCCCCACUUGAGGGCGAAAUCAGACUUUCCCGAGGACGCCAAGUUUAGAAAGUGCCAGCAUCUCUUGGGUCUGUCAGAUACAACAUGCAGCAAUG